UACGUAGGGGGCUAGCGUUGUCCGGAAUCAUUGGGCGUAAAGAGCUCGUAGGCGGUUUGUCGCGUCUGCUGUGAAAACCUAAGGCUCAACCUUGGGCUUGCAGUGGGUACGGGCAGACUAGAGUGCGGUAGGGGUGACUGGAAUUCCUGGUGUAGCGGUGGAAUGCGCAGAUAUCAGGAGGAACACCGAUGGCGAAGGCAGGUCUCUGGGCCACUACUGACGCUGAGAAGCGAAAGCAUGGGGAGCGAACAGG
rnacentral:rRNA from 1 species